GGGGCUGUGGCGCAGUUGGUAGCGCGCCUCGUUCGCAACGAGGAGGCCAGGGGUUCGAAUCCCCUCAGCUCCA
rnacentral:tRNA from 4 species